CACGUAGGGGGCAAGCGUUGUCCGGAAUCAUUGGGCGUAAAGAGCUCGUAGGCGGCUCAGUAAGUCGGGUGUGAAACCCUCAGGCUCAACCUGGGGACGCCACCCGAUACUGCUGUGGCUAGAGUCCAGUAGGGGAGUGUGGAAUUCCCGGUGUAGCGGUGAAAUGCGUAGAUAUUGGGAGGAACAUCGGUGGCGAAGGCGGCUACCUGGACGGGUACUGACGCUGAUGCGCGAAAGCUAGGGGAGCAAACAGG
rnacentral:rRNA from 1 species